GGGGAUGCUCGGCAUCGACGGUUAGUCGUGUCGGUUGUGUGCAGUGUCGAAAUUGGUAAUCAAUUCGUUAAAAGGUUCCACUAUCUACUUGCAAAAAAAGCAAUAGUAAGUCCUUACGCUAACGCGUUUGGAUUCGCUCCCGCAUUUGCGUAAUCAUACGCCUGCCGGAUCGAUGCGAAAGUGUUAAACGUCUCAUACGGCACUUCUCGUAGAAUAAACACGAGACUAUGGUUACCUUUGCCGUUGUCGUAGGCGACUAAGAAUUAAACAACUCGAAUCAUUUGUGUUUUGCUCGUUCUCAAGCAAAUGAUUUUAAACCCAAGGAAUCAGCUACACACUGUAGAUUCACAAUCGCACCCUAAUUCGGACGGGGGUUCAAUUCCCCCCAUCUCCACAU
rnacentral:tmRNA from 1 species